rnacentral:Y_RNA from 1 species
GGCUGGUCUGAGUGCAGUGUUGUUCACAAAUUAUUGAUCACAACCAGUAAUAGUUAUCUUUGCUCCUUUUCCACUCACACUAUUUCACUUGACUAGUCUUAA